rnacentral:lncRNA from 1 species
AAAAAGCAGGCAUGGCCUCGUGGGACUGAUUUCUAGCUCAAAAGGCUUCCAGGCUCACUUAGCUGUGCUUUAGUCACAGAAGCCUCUCUUUCUCCUCACAUUCGUGAGGGUUAAAGUCAGGCUGUGGCACCUAGGGUGUCAGUAGUUUGUAUAGUUGCUCAUUUCACUUUUAAAGGCCAGUUUCAGCCCUCCUGGCCCCUAGGAGCGCCCUGGGGCUGCAGCCGCCUGUCAGAGGGCAGCGGCGGGGGGGGGAAGCCGCGGCUGCGUCCCCCUCACACCCGGCGCUGGCAGCGCGGGCAGCGGGACCUCGAGGCUCUCACGGGCUCGGUUAGCCUCUGUCACCGCCCCAGCAGCAGUUCUCUCGAGUUAAGGACCAGAGGAAGUUGGUUAACAACCGGCUUUUGGGAACAAGAGAGCUCCAUUCUCCCUGGACCUUCAGAGUGCAGCCCUGUCCUAGAGAGGUGUCAGGAACUUAGCCACCAGCUUCUGAAGGAAUUUGGAGGCAGUACCAAGACCAGCAUCCUGGUGCUCCUGUUUAUGUUCAUGCAGAAUGGAAGGUUACCAGCACUGAGCAGAAAUGCCUGUCAUUUUGUGUUCGUAUGAAAGCUAGUCCCAGAAUCCAAACUGAGGGUCUUUGUGAAGAGGGAAAGAACCACGAAAACUCAUGGCAAUAUUUUAUGGGAAGUGUUAAUUGGCCCUGGAUGCUUUUGAAUUUAUUUUUAAAGCAACUGCUUUUUUACCCAUAUAUGUGUAGAUGGUCUUUCUAUCUGGGCUUGUUUGGCAAGUGGGAGAAUUGAACAAAUAUGGAGAUGGCACUUCCUGAGGACAGUAGCAGCAGAAAUGAAGAAAAUGUUUUUUCCUAUACAUCUGGAAACAUUCCUAUCCUUCUUCUAGACAGUAGUAGGAAUUGAGAUUUUGAAAGGUAAUUUAAGAAGAAGUGGAAAGCCUACGUUUCCCUGCUGAUUCUGAAUUUUGACAAUCAGAACGCGUGGGAAAAGAAACACUUUAGGUGAUGGACGACCUAGCGAAGUUUGAGAAAGAUGCAGGGAAGAAAUUUAGUGUGUGAAGCUGUUGUGUUCCUCCCCCUGGUUUUCAAACAAAGUUGAAGUAUUCAUUUGAAACACGAUGUGAUGAAGCACCUGGUAAAUGUUUUUGAAUGAGCAAAUCAAUUUUCAGUUCCACACAGUGCUACAGCUUAUAGAGCAGCUGAGAGUAUGUUAAGUCUGUCUUCAUGCCUCAAUAUGAAAACCUAUAUAGUUUUAGUAGUGUUUCUCUUAAUUUUUAUGUACAUUACAGCAGUUAGAUCAUGUAUUUUAUUACAAUAAAACAUUAAAACAUGACUUGUAGCUAAGCUUU